rnacentral:rRNA from 1 species
GAUGAACGCUGGCGGCGUGCUUAACACAUGCAAGUCGAACGGUGAAGCCCAGCUUGCUGGGUGGAUUAGUGGCGAACGGGUGAGUAACACGUGAGUAACCUGCCCUUAACUCUGGGAUAAGCCUGGGAAACUGGGUCUAAUACCGGAUAGGAGCGCCUACCGCAUGGUGGGUGUUGGAAAGAUUUAUCGGUUUUGGAUGGACUCGCGGCCUAUCAGCUUGUUGGUGAGGUAAUGGCUCACCAAGGCGACGACGGGUAGCCGGCCUGAGAGGGUGACCGGCCACACUGGGACUGAGACACGGCCCAGACUCCUACGGGAGGCAGCAGUGGGGAAUAUUGCACAAUGGGCGAAAGCCUGAUGCAGCGACGCCGCGUGAGGGAUGACGGCCUUCGGGUUGUAAACCUCUUUCAGUAGGGAAGAAGCGAAAGUGACGGUACCUGCAGAAGAAGCACCGGCUAACUACGUG